rnacentral:rRNA from 1 species
GGGUGCGAUCAUACCAGCACUAAUGCACCGGAUCCCAUCAGAACUCCGAAGUUAAGCGUGCUUGGGCGAGAGUAGUACUAGGAUGGGUGACCUCCUGGGAAGUCCUCGUGUUGCAUCCC